CCUCCCAAAGUGCUGGGAUUAGAGGUGUGAGCCACCGCCUGGCCUAGGAAAGAAUUUUAUGUGUGUGCUUGGGAUAUCUAUUGCUAUUUAACAAACUACCCCAAAACUUUGUUGUUUAAAACCACUAUCAUUUAUCACUCAUGAUCUCGUCAGGGACUGGGCUCAGCUGGGUGGUUGUGCUACACUGGAUGCUGGCUGGGGCUGUUCCACUGAGCUGACCAGGAUGAUUACUCACAUGGCUAGCUGUUGUCUGGGGCUCAUCGGGGCCUACCGACCAGAACACCUCAGUUCUCUCUCAUGUGGCCUCUGUGUUUGAACUUCUCAUAGCACGACAGGUGAGCUACCAGUGGAACAUGCCAAGAUGUCAAGCCCCAUGUGAGGCAUUUAUUAAGCCCCUGCUGCCAUCAUGCCACUGGCCCCAUCUAGUCAUCGGCCACGCCCAUCAGGUGAGGGAGACCACACCGGGAGACAGGGUCUAUCAGGGGCCACUAAAGUAACACUCUGGCCAAAAUAAUGCAGUUACUUGCACAUGGAACUGAUUAGAAGUGCUAAGAUUGUCAUGUUUUUGAGGAAACUGUGCUUAUACAAGGCCCACGAGCCUGGACUGAAGCCACCAGUUCACUUAAAACAGGUCCUAGCCUGGAACCGUCCACCCACAGGCAGUAGAUGAGAAAGCCAAGCUUGGCCCAAGAGCUGCAGCCAAAGGGAUACAAAAAAGGCCAGCCGCCCCCACCCUCCCAUCUCCCCCCCAGCCCAAGACCAGGGGCAGAGCAGGGCACCGUCAGGUCUUUUCCCUCCUCGGUGCAAGGAGACCUUGGUCUGUGCUGCAGCUUCCAGCACUGUGGGGGCAUCUCCCAUUCUCUGCUCCUCAAAAUGGUGCUGGACUGUGGGUACUGACCCCUGCCCCAUUGUCUGUUACUGUUGGGGGAAAGGCACAGAUCACAGGUCUCUCUAGUUUACAGGCUGUGUCUGCCUUGCUGGAGAAGGCUUUGAAGCCACAGAGCCCAGGACACAGGACCUUAUGGUCUAUGUAUGAGAAAAAGACUGAAAUAACUCUCUGGGGGCCAGACAGUCCACUGUGACCGGGACUGGCAAUGUUAACUAAGCCCAUUUCCCCACCUCCCACCUUCCGCCUCAAAGGAAGCCUGCACUUGCCCAUCCCGCCACAUCUGGAUGGGGGCCGAGGAUCUAAUUCUGGCACUGGCAUGGGAAGCAGUGAGGCACUUCCAGGCCUGGCUGUAAGAAAUCUUCUAUGCUUGACCCUUGUCCAUUUGUCCCUUCAUAGCCACCUGAAGGGCUGUCAGAGAGAGCAGUGUCUCAAGAUGAAAGUGGCUUGGGUCCCUGAGUCAGACUUCUGUGAGAAACAAACUCGUGUGAAGCCGC